ensembl:lncRNA
UUUUUAUUUAUUUAUUUAUUUUUUUUUUUAAUUUUAAAUGCCAUUAUUUCUUAGGCUUAGAAAUGUUGCGUUAUUCAACAACCUGACGACCUCAAAUUCUUAUCAAUAUAAAAUGAAAUAAGUUUAUACUAUAAAACGGCAAGUAUGAGUAAUAAAUCAUUAAUAAGGGUGUAUCACAAGCAGCAUGAUCUUGUCUGAGGAAACCGGAAGCGCUGUUGUCUGCUGUGUGGCGUCACAGCAAUUUCCUCUUUAGCAAAAGGCAACAACGUCACAAUCUCAGCAACAGAGGGCGACAGAGAGCAACAAAUCAGUGCAGCAGUCCUACAGGUUUGAUUGCAGAUUAAUAAAUCGCAUAUUUUCAUGUAUCAACGCAGAACAAGGGCGAUAUAGAACUACAAACACUCUACAACUGCAUCACUAAUACAAUUUAGGUCUUCAGUUCAACUAACCUGACAUUCCAGUAACAAAAAAAAAUUAAUAAAUAAAAAAAACCUAAAUGGAUGGAUGCUAUGACGAAAAGGCUAUUUUCUCGGCCAUAACGACUCGAGGGUUUCUAAGAAUAACCCUUCCUAGUUUCUAUAUUUGGAAACGACUUCUAGGAAAAUAGAAACUGCCAGCUUCAUAUUCAGUUCCACGUGUUUAACUUCGCUCCCUUUUAAAGCAUAAGAAAAGCAUCGAGCAGCACGUGAGCGAUUUUUCAUACUGCCACCCAUUGAUGAUCAUUAAUAGACCGGAGAAUGUCCGCGAGGAAUUGGCGUGUGUUGCUGGAAAUGGCAUCUCCCCCUGCACGGCCCCUGCUUUACCUAGUAGCGUGACCAUGAAGCAAUGCACGAGCAGAGAGAUCUCAACAUGCACAGAGUCAGUCUGCUGCUCAUCUCACCAGCGGGAGCGCGAACAGCGUGCACUUAAAGAAAAAAUAUCUGAUUCCCAUCAGCCACAUGCUUCUUUCAACCCCACAGCGCGUCUUUAUUCAUUCGGGCUUCCAGCAACCAGCUGCACUUCAUGGCGAUAGAUAAAGAAAACCCCAUGCGCAAGGAGUUAAUAAGUCAAACAAAGGCAUAUGACUUCCAUAACUUCAUCGCUCAUUAACCGCUGAUGGUAGGACACAAUUGAGCGAGUGUUUGUGGAACUUGCCCUAGAUAUUCAGAUCUCAGUCCUUGGCUCUGGCUGUUGGGCAGAUCUUCUCCUGUUUCAGAUAUCUUCACCCUGCCUGACAACAGACCGUCAGGAGCUUCACAUGAGAGUCCCGUGUAAGGAGUGAACUAUGGGAUAGAAAGGCCAGUUAUGUCCAUUUAAAUCCCUUUACAAGCACCACAGCAAACAAAAGACAGAUUAGCAUGAUUUACCAUGACCGUAUUAUUAAAUUACCUCAUCUACACAUGAGCCAACAAUUGAGUUACUUUUAUAGAUGUGUGCAGACGGUAUUAUGCAGGCACUGUGUAGGCUAUUCUUUGUUCAUUAAUGGUUUGGUAAACCACAUUUUGUAAGGUCUUGAAUAGAGCUAGCACUGGUUAGACCCAAAAAUUGCACAUUCAGAGGUAUCUUUCAAAACCAAUAUUCCCUAUUAGCAUUAAAGCUAUGCAUGCUAGACAUUGUCUGGGUUUGACUGGGAUGGGAUCUCGUUUAAAAAGCAAUGCAUUUAUAAAAUAUAUUGAUUAUAUUAUGUUGUAUAUUUUAAAAUAACGCUGAUAACUCUCAAACAAUAAAGUGAAAACGAUCAAAAUCCUAUUGUUGUCU